rnacentral:rRNA from 1 species
GACGAACGCUGGCGGCGUGCUUAACACAUGCAAGUCGAACGAAGUGGCGAACGGGUGAGUAACGCGUAAUCAACCUGCCCUUCAGAGGGGGACAACAGGUGGAAACGACUGCUAAUACCUCAUACUGAAGGAGGGGAUUGCGUCUGAUUAGCUAGUUGGCGGGGUACCGGCCCACCAUGGCGAGGAUCAGUAGCCGGUCUGGGGGGAAGAACGGCCACAUUGGGACUGGGACACGGCCCAGACUCCUACGGGAGGCAGCAGUGGGGAAUCUUCCGCAAUGGACGAAAGUCUGACGGAGCAACGCCGCGGGAGUGAUGACGGCCUUCGGGUUGUAAAGCUCUGUUAAUCGGGACGCGGUACCGGAAUAGAAAGCCACGGCUAACUACGUGCCAGCAGCCGCGGUAAUUC